rnacentral:rRNA from 1 species
AGAGUUUGAUCCUGGCUCAGGAUGAACGCCGGCGGUGUGCCUAAUACAUGCAAGUCGAACGCGUUGGCCCAGCUGAUUGAACGUGCUUGCACGGACUUGACGUUGGUUUACCAGCGAGUGGCGGACGGGUGAGUAACACGUAGGUAACCUGCCCCAAAGCGGGGGAUAACAUUUGGAAACAGAUGCUAAUACCGCAUAACAAUUUGAAUCGCAUGAUUCAAAUUUAAAAGAUGGCUUCGGCUAUCACUUUGGGAUGGACCUGCGGCGCAUUAGCUUGUUGGCAGGGUAAUGGCCUACCAAGGCUGUGAUGCGUAGCCGAGUUGAGAGACUGAUCGGCCACAAUGGAACUGAGACACGGUCCAUACUCCUACGGGAGGCAGCAGUAGGGAAUCUUCCACAAUGGGCGCAAGCCUGAUGGAGCAACACCGCGUGAGUGAAGAAGGGUUUCGGCUCGUAAAGCUCUGUUGUUAGAGAAGAACGUGCGUGAGAGCAACUGUUCACGCAGUGACGGUAUCUAACCAGAAAGUCACGGCUAACUACGUGCCAGCAGCCGCGGUAAUACGUAGGUGGCAAGCGUUAUCCGGAUUUAUUGGGCGUAAAGCGAGCGCAGGCGGUUUGAUAAGUCUGAUGUGAAAGCCUUUGGCUUAACCAAAGAAGUGCAUCGGAAACUGUCAGACUUGAGUGCAGAAGAGGACAGUGGAACUCC